rnacentral:rRNA from 1 species
UACGAAGGGGGCGAGCGUUGUUCGGAAUUACUGGGCGUAAAGGGCGCGUAGGCGGCGAUCCGAGUCAGAGUGUGAAAGUCCUGGGCUUAACCUGGGGACUGCAUUUGAUACUGGAUUGCUUGAAGUUCGGGAGAGGAUAGCGGAAUUCCCAAGUGUAGAGGUGAAAUUCGUAGAUAUUGGGAAGAACACCGGUGGCGAAGGCGGCUAUCUGGACCGACAUUGACGCUGAGGCGGCGAAAAGCG